rnacentral:rRNA from 1 species
UACGUAGGUGGCAAGCGUUGUCCGGAUUCACUGGGCGUAAAGAGCGCGUAGGCGGUUGGGUAAGUCGAAUGUGAAAGCCCCCGGCUCAACUGGGGAGGGUCAUUCGAUACUGAUCGACUCGAAGGCAGGAGAGGGUAGUGGAAUUCCCGGUGUAGUGGUGAAAUGCGUAGAUAUCUGGAGGAACACCGGUGGCGAAGGCGGCAUCCUGGACCAACACUGGCGCUGAGGAGCGAAAGCCAGGGGAGCAAACGGG